UGGGGAAUAUUGCACAAUGGGCGCAAGCCUGAUGCAGCCAUGCCGCGUGUAUGAAGAAGGCCUUCGGGUUGUAAAGUACUUUCAGCGGGGAGGAAGGGAGUAAAGUUAAUACCUUUGCUCAUUGACGUUACCCGCAGAAGAAGCACCGGCUAACUCCGUGCCAGCAGCCGCGGUAAUACGGAGGGUGCAAGCGUUAAUCGGAAUUACUGGGCGUAAAGCGCACGCAGGCGGUUUGUUAAGUCAGAUGUGAAAUCCCCGGGCUCAACCUGGGAACUGCAUCUGAUACUGGCAAGCUUGAGUCUCGUAGAGGGGGGUAGAAUUCCAGGUGUAGCGGUGAAAUGCGUAGAGAUCUGGAGGAAUACCGGUGGCGAAGGCGGCCCCCUGGACGAAGACUGACGCUCGGGUGCGAAAGCGUGGGGAGCAAACAGG
rnacentral:rRNA from 2 species